rnacentral:tRNA from 1 species
GGGCGGAUGGCAGAGCGGUCAAAUGCUCCGCACUGUAAAUGCGGCGCCUUCGGGCUACGGGGGUUCGAAUCCCUCUCCUCCCA